UAAUACAGAGGGGGCGAGCGUUAUUCGGAAUUAUUGGGCGUAAAGGGCGCGUAGGUGGCUUGACAAGUCAAAGGUGAAAUCCCUCGGCUCAACCGAGGAAUGGCCUUUGAAACUGUCGAGCUAGAGGCCGGGAGAGGGUAGUGGAAUUCCCAGUGUAGCGGUGAAAUGCGUAGAUAUUGGGAGGAACACCAGUGGCGAAGGCGGCUACCUGGACCGGUUCUGACGCUGAGGCGCGAAAGCGUGGGGAGCAAACAGGAUUAGAUACCCUGGUAGUCCACGCUGUAAACGAUGGGUGCUCGGUGUCGCGGGUAUCGACUCCUGCGGUGCCUUAGCUAACGCGUUAAGCACCCCGCCUGGGGAGUACGGUCGCAAGGCUG
rnacentral:rRNA from 1 species